UACGAAGGGGGCUAGCGUUGCUCGGAAUCACUGGGCGUAAAGGGUGCGUAGGCGGGUCUUUAAGUCAGGGGUGAAAUCCUGGAGCUCAACUCCAGAACUGCCUUUGAUACUGAAGAUCUUGAGUUCGGGAGAGGUGAGUGGAACUGCGAGUGUAGAGGUGAAAUUCGUAGAUAUUCGCAAGAACACCGGUGGCGAAGGCGGCGACCUGGUCCGGGACUGACGCUGAGGCGCGAAAGCGUGGGGAGCAAACAGG
rnacentral:rRNA from 1 species